rnacentral:tRNA from 1 species
GGGCCUGUGGCGCAGCAGGUAGCGCGUCUGUUCGGCAGACAGAAGGCCGCCGGUUCGAACCCGGCCAGGUCCA